GAGAUUUUGGGGUUCUGAGGGGGGAAUUGGGUGAGAAAAGAGGCAAUUUUGGGGUCAGAAAAGGGCAAUUUGGGGUCAGAAAUGGAGAAUUUGGGGUGAGAAAAGGAGAUUUUUGGGUUCUGAGGUGGGAACUGGUUGAGAAAAGCAGCAAUUUGGGGUCAGAGAAGUGUGGAUUUCGGUGGGAUGCUGGGUGAGCAGGGCGGAUUUUAGGGCCAAACGGGGCAAUUUGGGGUGACCCCCCCCCUCAUUUUCUGUGUCCCCCCCCUCCCAUAG
rnacentral:lncRNA from 1 species